CACUCUCCGGGCUUCUUAUAUUAUUUGUUCUACAGUUAGUACUACAGCUAAGUAGGACAGUUAUUCAGGUCCAUCGAAGAUAAAUAAUCAUGAUACCACUGCUAAUGAUUGUAUUUUUCACGUGCAUCGUUUCACCUAUCACGAAAUCAUGUUCAGACAAUGAAGAACCGCGUAUUUGCAAAACUGGUAGUUCCCUUUCACAAAAAUAUUGCCCUGGUGUCCAGAACCAAGAAAAGUGGAUUUGUAAGCUGGGAAGUAAUGGAAGGUGUGUGUGCAAGACUUCUCUCUUUAGAACGAUGGACGGACAAUGCGUAACUAAGGACAA